rnacentral:lncRNA from 1 species
UCUGAUUCCAAGUGUUUUUCUUACUUAAACAUGGUAGAAAAAAACUAGAAGAAAGUAAUGAAUUGAUUUCAUCUAUGCCAUUGCACCCUUAAAAUGAAUCAUGUACCCAUCAAAUUAUUUGGCUAUCUACAAAUUCUAUUUUCCAUAAUGGUGAUGCCAAGACUGCAACUACUCUCACAAAUAAUGCUAGUGGAGCCAGGUUAGCCAAUUUGGAAG